CAUAGCGACUAUCGUGGCAUAUCAAUAAGCGGAGGAAAAGAAACUAACAAGGAUUCCCUUAGUAACGGCGAGUGAAGCGGGAAGAGCUCAAAUUUGAAAUCUUCAAGGUUUUACCUUGACGAAUUGUAGUUUAAAGAAGUGUUUUCUGUUGAAGUUUUGGUAAAAGUUCUUUGGAAUAGGACAUCAUAGAGGGUGAGAAUCCCGUAUUUGACCAUUAUUUUCAGCUGUGUGAUACACUUUCAAAGAGUCGGAUUGUUUGGGAAUGCAGUCCAAAAUGGGUGGUAAAUUUCAUCUAAAGCUAAAUAUUGGCGAGAGACCGAUAGCGAACAAGUACCGUGAGGGAAAGAUGAAAAGAACUUUGAAAAGAGAGUUAAACAGUACGUGAAAUUGUCAAAAGGGAAGCGUUUGACACCAGUGUUGUUUAGUUGAAAACCAAUUCAAUAAUUUUUGAUUUUGAGAGUAGUAUUGACUUCAUCAGCUUGCUGCUUUCUUUUCGGAAAUUAUUGAAUGCACUUUUCAGUUAACAAGUCAACAUCAAUUUCUUUUGUUGUAAAAGGGUAAGAGGAAGGUGGCUUACGCUUCGGCGUAAGUGUUUAUAGCCUUUUACCUCUGCAAUCGGAGAGAUUGAGGACAGCAGCGUAGACUCCUUCGGGGGUUAGAUACACUUGUGCUAAGCUAUAGCCUUGUAUAGACAACUUGUUGACUAUGCUCAGUCAUGUAGCUUACUCGCUUGUGCUAUUUUACCUACGCUUAGGAUGUUGAUAUGCAUGACUGAUAU
rnacentral:rRNA from 1 species